CAUAAAUACUGGAAUCUAUUUAGUUCGUGUAGCAUAAGCAAUUGAAGUGGUUUUGUAGGUGGUGCAAGGGUUUGGAGUUAGAACACGUUGUAUAAUGAUUGACGUUGCCAAAAACGGAACUUAACAAGCAUCAGAAAAUAAAGACAGAAAGGAAAAAAAAGACUACUUUAUUAUACAUAAUAAAAAAGGAUGUAUAGGUAAAAGAGAAAGUGCACUAGCACUAGCUAAGCAGGUCAAGGCUCAAGCGUUUGCAGAUGAUACAUGGAGACACGGGAGAGGAGACGGGAGCAAAACGUCCGCGGGAGUGGAAGCAGCAUGGACUGAGUGGCAUGACGGGACCGAGACUAGAAAUAAAAAGAUGAGGCUUGCUGUAAGGUGUACCUCUUCACUGGAUGCCAUCGCAGGUGGACGCUCUCUCGAUCUCCAAGUUGCCAAGAUUCACAAGCGCCUGGAAUAGUCUCAUGAAAAUGGCAUCAAAAUUGAACUCUUUUAGGUGAAGGUGAACAAAAAUUUGAUGUCUUGGUAAAAUUUAACGUCAAAAAUGUAUAUAACUCCAUUAGCAGGGAUAGCUUGUUGACUUGUUUUGAGAGCAUUAAAGAAAUUAAUUAUACAGUGAUACUCAGAGUCAGCAGUCAAAAGUUACGAACUCUCUUCAGAGUUGGUUGUCAAUAAGAAAAUCAUCUUGCCUGGCUAUUUUAAGUCUCGCUAUAAAUUCUAAUAUAUUCAAGAUGGUAUACUAGGCGGUAACGCAGAUACUUUCAGAUCUAUAUAAAAUUAUUAAUGUCAAAUCAGACCAUCGUCCACCAGACUUAUCGUCAGGAAGAAAUCUGUCAGUGUGUAACAUUGGUCAGUUAUCACCUAACAUCAGAUAAGCCUUCAGCCCGUAGUUCUAUUAAAGCAAUGGUAAACGAAAGAGGUGAUUGGCGGUGGUGAGUGACUGAUUGGCGGCUGGUACAAAGGUGCACAAUUGUAUUAUUUAACCUAUAAAUAACAAAUUAACAUCGAUUAUUCAGUUUAUUCAGUAGAAUAAUGAAUAUUAAAAAGCAUAGACGUAAUUACAAAGUUCUAGUACCUAUUUAUAAUAGGGAUUGCAGUUUUUUAGUUAUAGAAAUGUUGAAUUGAAUUUUUUUUCUACAAGUUUAGAAACAAAUAUGUUUCAUUUUCCAAUACAUCUUUUAUUAAUUUCAUACUUUAUAUUAACCCCUAAUAGCUUAGUCGCACAAUGGGGCUAUUUUCAAGUAUUCGAAAUCAACUGAUAUUGCCGUGAAAAAGUAGUGAAUCGUUCGUACGAGGCAAGAAGUUAGGUAAAUACGCUGAUCCCUAGGUAUAAUAACGAAUCGGGAACAUGCACGGGAUUGCAGUUCUUUCUUUCAGAGCGUAUUUCAACAAGCAGCAGCUUCAUAACAAGAAAUCCUACAGAUUAAUACAGAAGUAACCGACAACAUUAUAUACAAACAUAACCAAUUUUGAUAUAUUGAUGAUACUAAAUUCAUUAAUGACAAAGUAGAUAAAGGAGCUGGAUGUGCCAAUUUUUAUUAAAAAAUAUGCUCAAGCUAUUACAGAACCAUUAUACGUUAUUCGGAACUUAUACGUGAACACAUUUGGUAUUUAUCAUAUUUUGGUUCAUAAAAGUGGCUCGCGGCUUAGUAUUGAAAACUAUCGCCUAAUAUCUAUAAUUAUCAUUCUGAUGAUCACACCAUUCAAUUACGUAAGCUCCAAAUUUUAGGAAUACGUGGGGACCUUCAUCGGUGGUUCUGUUCCUAUAUAUCUAAUCGUAGACAGGCAGUUGCGGCUGGCAGUGCUAGAAAUGAUUUUGUUCAUAUAAGUUCUGGAGUUCCUCUAUACUAGAUCUAUGUUAUACUAUGCCAUGUGUAUAAUCUUUAUGACAUAAAUUGUAGCUUUAAAGAUUCUAAUUGUAUCUCCUAUAAGACCUAUAAUAAGUUUAAUGCCUA